GUGCCAGCAGCCGCGGUAAGACGAAGGUGGCAAGCGUUGUUCGGAUUCACUGGGCAUAAAGGGCGCGUAGGCGGUUCUGCAAGUGGCUUGUGAAAUCCCCCGGCUCAACCGGGGAAGUGCGGGCCAGACUGCAGUUCUUGAGGCUGGGAGGGGAGACUGGAACUCUCGGUGGAGCGGUGAAAUGCGUAGAUAUCGAGAGGAACACCGGUGGCGAAGGCGAGUCUCUGGUCCAGCUCUGACGCUGAGGCGCGAAAGCGUGGGUAGCAAACAGGAUUAGAUACCCCCGUAGUCC
rnacentral:rRNA from 1 species